ACUUCCGCUUCCGGCAACGGCGCCGGAAGCACGGGUCCGGGCCCUCCCGCGGGGCGGGUACUCGUCUCCCGGCCGAGCGACUUCAGCUCGGGGACCUGCCCCAUGGCCGCUCCCCAGCAGGACAGGGAAACCGCCGAGGUGGGGGGCUUCUUGUCCGUCCCAGCCCCCCCAACUCAGGCCCUCUCGCUGCCCCUGGCGACCACCGCGUGCGCCCUUCCCCAGGGCGGGCGCAGUCCUGGACGCCUCCGCCGAGCGUGACUGCGUGCAUUUUCUCUCCUUUCCCUUCCCAACCUGCGGAGAGAAGACAGCCCCAGAGCCGCUGUCUCCAUCCUCUGCUGAUGCCUGCUGUCUUUAUGUUGGCCUCGUCGUCCGCACUGCAGUGUGGCAGGGGCGUCCCUCGUUUCCCGCGGACUGAGGUGGGCGCCGGGCAUUCAGUAAACGAAGAAACCAAAGCGGAGAAGGUUGGGAAUCAAACGUCUGUCAUACCUGCCACCAGCAGACAAGCGGCUUUGGGUACCUCCUGGACCCAAAGACGAACUCAGCCCCUCCAGGAGCGCAGUCAUUGGCACCCUCGUGGGAACAAUGCCAGUGGGAUGGGUGGCCACCGGAUGUUUCCGGGGCCCCUCAGAGGCCCAGCAGCGCAGGUCUUGGAGAAUGAAUGUGGGUCACUGGGCCGCGCUGCAGAGGGCCGGUCCUGAGUCGCUUCCUGGAGGAGAGGCCCAUGGCCAGCACUUGGCUUCGCCUGGAGGAAGAAGCACGUGCUAAACCACGAGCGUUCAGGGUUUGUCUGUUUGAUAAAAGAUGCUGGCUUUGACACACCAACUGACAAAGUCUUUCAUAGGUUGGAGCUGCUAGGUUGUGCCCCUGCCCCUCCUGAAAAUUAGCCACACGAAAGGAAGGGUCUGGAAGGUGGCAGGGAAGCCAGCAGAGACCAGGGAAGUGGCAGCAGCAUGGGGCAGGGGCACACAGGAAGGAGAUGGAGCUUGCGGGAGCCCCCACUGCCACUCCGACAGGGAGCCCUGCCCCGUGCCCUGCUGAUGUUGACACUGACCCCGGCUCUAUUAUUUCAGUUUUUCCUUGUAAUUUCUGAAAAUCUAGCAACAAGUUGAGCAAUGAAAAAAAGUAAAAAAGUUAAAAUUGUGUUAGAAAUUAUGACUGUAAAGAAAUUUUGAAACUAAUGAAGAAAAAAUUGCCAAAAUUGCCAAAGCUUUUAGGACUCUUAAAAAUAUAGUAACAUUGAGUAUUAUGAACUAAAGACUCAUACUAUUAUAUCAGUGUCUGGUAGUGAAUUUGGAUGGAGGACUGUCUAGUAACUUCUUAACAAAA